rnacentral:rRNA from 1 species
CAGCAGCCGCGGUAACACGAAGGGUGCAAGCGUUAAUCGGAAUUACUGGGCGUAAAGCGUGCGUAGGCGGUUUGUUAAGUCUGUUGUGAAAUCCCCGGGCUCAACCUGGGAAUGGCAAUGGAUACUGGCAAGCUAGAGUGUGUCAGAGGAUGGUGGAAUUCCCGGUGUAGCGGUGAAAUGCGUAGAGACCGGGAGGAACAUCAGUGGCGAAGGCGGCCAUCUGGGACAACACUGACGCUGAGGCACGAAAGCGUGGGGAGCAAACAGGAUUAGAUACCCGAGUAGUCCCUGUCUCUUAUAC